rnacentral:tRNA from 1 species
CAGUAUUUAUUUCAAUAGUAGAAUGUUAGCUUUGGGAGUUAUCGAUCUAAGUGCGAAUCUUAGAGUACUGA